CCAGGGAGCAGCAGUGGCAGAAGAACCGUCCUAGCUGCUGCGACGCCUCGGCCCUGGCCACCGCCCCCUACUCUGCGCCGCCCGCCCCCCGCGAGGCGCCAACCGCCGGCCAUUUGCUGCUCCCUCGCUGAUCGACGCCCAAACCUUUUAUAUACUAUGUUUUUCCUACCUACAUAUCUAUGAUCGAGUUUAAUUUACAAAAUAGGCGCUUACUAAGGAAGCGAUUAACAACAAUAACGAAUAAUAAACACAACAAUUGAGUCAAAUAAGGGUUACUUGAACACAAGCACUGCAAUACCAUGGAUUGGUCUGAUAACUAACAGCUACUAAGAGACUAAUGGGCAAGUAGCAUCUACAGUUCAGAUACACUGAACAGCCGGAGGAUUCACAGGCCGGGAGGGGUGAAGCAAGACGGUGUGAGAUUUCAUCACGCCACUCAGAAUGGCAAGCAACUGAAAACAUGAAUUAUUUCUGGAAUUUUCAGUUUAAUAUUUUUGGACUACAGUUGACCGCAGGUGAACAGCCCCUGAUUGUUUGGAGGAGUCUGAAGGUAUGCAGGCUGGCAGAAGGAAGCUGGCUUGGAUGAACAUCUUGCCAUAUGGAGUCACAAAUUGAAUGGCCCCUUUUCAGCUUGGUUGAGAGCAAGCUCCUGAAGCUUUAAUCUGGGGUCAGUUUGGGGAAAAGAAGAAAUCUUGCAGAAACUUGUCAGGACAUAUCACAUGUAGGUUGGAAGAGGGACAUUGACAGGGGCAAUCUAGUCUAGGGUGAGUUCUGUAUGCCAGAGGACACCAGACUAAGGUAUGUCACUGAUGAUGCUAUUUAAUUCCAGAGGGAGUCAGUUGGAUGCAGCUCUUGGUUUUGAGUCUGGCCCUAAUGCUCUCAGCUGACAAAUUCCUUUUUCUUCUUUUGAGGCAGGGUCUCACUGUCACCCAGGCUAGAUGCAGCGGUGCCAUCACAGCUCACGUGGUCCUCCCACCUCAGCCUCCCAAGUAAUUAGGACUACAGGCAUGCACCACCAUACUUGGCUAAUUUUUGUUUUUUUUUUUGUAGAGGCAGGGUUUCACCGUGUUGCCCAGGCUUGUCUAUAACUCCUUGGCUCAAGCGAUCCUCCCACCUUGGCCUCCCAAAGUGCUGGGAUUCCAGGCAUGAGCCACUGUGCCCAGCUUGGCUGACAAAUUCUAAUGGCAGAAAAGAUCAAAUACCAAGAUUGCUUGUAAACAUCACAGCAAAAUAUUGCACUUACUUCACUGCCCCCUGAAGUGACCACAUUUUUCUUUUGUUUUGAGACAGGGUCUCACUCUGUCACCCAGGUUGCAGUGCAGUGGCAUGAUCAUAGCUCACUGCAGCCUCAACUUCCUGGGCUCAAGUGAUUCUCCCACCCCACACUCUUAAGUAACUGGAACUACAAGCAUGCACCACCAUGCCUGGCAUUUUUUUUAUUUUUAUUUUUAUUUUUAUUUUUAUUUGUAGAGAUAGGAUCUCACUAUAUUGCCCAGGCUGGUCUAGAACUCCUGGGCUCAAAUGAUCCUCCCACCUUGGCCUCCCAAAGUGCUGAGGUUACAUGUCUGAGCCAUUGUACCCAGUCAGUGACCACUUUUGAGAAACAAAAAUACAAAUUCCCAAUCCUAACAUAUAGAUCUGAGCCCCAAAGCAUCUGUGUCUUCACCAGAUUUGAUUUACUUUAAGUACAUUGUUUAAAAAAAAUUAAAAUAAAU
rnacentral:lncRNA from 10 species